rnacentral:rRNA from 1 species
GACGAACGCUGGCGGCGUGCUUAACACAUGCAAGUCGAACGGAAAGGCCCUGCUUGCAGGGUGCUCGAGUGGCGAACGGGUGAGUAACACGUGGGUGAUCUGCCCCUUACUUUGGGAUAAGCCUGGGAAACUGGGUCUAAUACUGGAUAGGACCAUGCUGUAGGUGGUGUGGUGGAAAGAUUAGUUUCGGUAAGGGAUGAGCUCGCGGCCUAUCAGCCUGUUGGUGGGGUAAUGGCCUACCAAGGCGUCGACGGGUAGCCGGCCUGAGAGGGUGGACGGCCACAUUGGGACUGAGAUACGGCCCAGACUCCUACGGGAGGCAGCAGUGGGGAAUAUUGCACAAUGGGCGCAAGCCUGAUGCAGCGACGCCGCGUGGGGGAUGACGGCCUUCGGGUUGUAAACUCCUUUCAGCCAUGACGAAGCCUUCGGGUGACGGUAGUGGUAGAAGAAGCACCGGCUAACUACGUG